rnacentral:rRNA from 1 species
UACAGAGGGGGGCCAGCGUUAUUCGGAAUUAUUGGGCGUAAAGGGCGCGUAGGCGGCCAUGCGUGUCUUCCGUGAAAUCCCUCGGCUUAACUGAGGACGUGCGGAAGAAACUGCAAGGCUCGAGUCCGGGAGAGGGGGGGUGGAAUUCCCAGUGUAGCGGUGAAAUGCGUAGAUAUUGGGAGGAACACCGGUGGCGAAGGCGGCCCCCUGGACCGGUACUGACGCUGAGGCGCGAAAGCGUGGGGAGCAAACAGGG